AUAACGGCGGGGGCACGAAUUCUUCCGUGCUGCGCCGCCCACGCAAGGAGGGGAUAGAUCGACGCGUCAAGAAAUCGUUUCAGUUGCCAUGACUCCAGUAGGCAAUAUGAUUGUUGCUUGACUACAG
rfam:Sorghum bicolor cultivar BTx623 chromosome 10, whole genome shotgun sequence.